GUGUCUAGGAUACAUCUGCGAAGGUUAUUGCAUAGAAAUGCCUGAAGCUGGCAGACCUGAUUACAGCAAAGUGAGCCUACUGCCUGUCCCAGUUGCUUCUGCUAAAUUCACUUUUUGGCCUUCAGCAUUUACAAGAGUAGCCUGUAUAUUUUGAACCUAGAGAUGAAGCUGGAAUGCUCUCUGCAAAUCUUGUAGGGGAAGGGAAGUUAAAAUAGGCAGAUUUGAGAUCUGGAUUUUAAGAAAGGAAAUGUAGUUUAGAUGUGGUCAUUUGUCUUAGGUCUAAUUUUUAUCUUGUCAAGGCAGUCCUUAAGCCUAGCUAUUAUUCCAAUAAGACAACUGAGAGUCCCUUAUACAGGAUUUUUUUUUUUCAAAUAUAGUCAAUUUAUAUUUUUUCAAAUAUAGUCAAUGUCUGGCCAUUGAUGAAUAGGAUCUAUUAAUAGGGAGUCAAACCAAUAAGCCUUUUAAUGGUUUAACCAAAGAUACAAGGGGUGUCCAGAGAGGGCAUAUAUGAUAUAACCCCCAUGAUCCAAAAGUUCACUCCCAAAAUUAGUCUAAGAACAAAGACCUCUGUUGCACAGGAGGUAAGGAAGUCUCUGGUCUCUCAUGAAAUGGUGAGAUGCCUCUAGUCACAGACCCUCUAAUUUGUGACACUGGGUGGGUGCUACUGGGAUGGGAUUUUUCUAGCCCUGCCAAGCAACGAAGCUUGGACAACAAAGGCCCCUUAUGGGCUGGGACCUUUUAUGACAAAUGCCCCUGCAAGCUGGCCUGGCCAGAGAGAGUGCAAAUUGUAACUAUGCGUCUCUAUUUGACUGGCCACCAAAGUGGACCUCAGUAAGUGUACCCUCCUGAAGGCAGAAAUCAGAGAAAAAUGUUCUCAUGGGUCACAAAGCCAAACUCUUAGGACACAGAACAAAAGGAAAAACCUCAUUCUGUUUUUACAUAGAGGAUCCACAGCAAAGUUUGUUUAAAUGGAUGGCCAGUCUCUUUAACUCAACAGUCUCUGAGGUCAGCUUGAGAGUUGCCCAAGGAGCUAGUUCCACAAUAUUUUCUCCUGCUAAUCUAAAUUUACAGGAAGAAAAAAAGAUUCUCACCACUCUAUCUCCAUUGGACUCUGUAGAGCUUCCAGGAGGCUGACAUGAAUCCCAAGCAGGGUCUGCACAGUCAACGUGAGGCUCAACACGGGGGCUUACCCCCACGAACUGUGAGAUCAUGACAGCUGGGAUCAAGAGUUGGACGGGCAAGGGACUAAGCCACCCAGGCGCCCCACAGAUAAGUCUUUCAGAUGUAAACAGUUAUCUCUGGUAACAGCUCUCUUCCUGUUACAGGCCCUCUAUCUGAAUUCCUUGGGCGGUUUUCCUGAGUCAGCUUAAUUUCCUUCAGUUCAAAACAAUCUACAUGCCCAAGUGGCACACUCUGGGGUUGUGUUUUCUACUCCCCCUCAACUUCUUAAACAAGCCCUCACAAUAACUACA